GAGCACUGUUUCGGCUAGGGGGCCAUCCCGGCUUACCAACCCGAUGCAAACUGCGAAUACCGGAGAAUGUUAUCACGGGAGACACACGGCGGGUGCUAACGUCCGUCGUGAAGAGGGAAACAACCCAGACCGCCAGCUAAGGUCCCAAAGUCAUGGUUAAGUGGGAAACGAUGUGGGAAGGCCCAGACAGCCAGGAUGUUGGCUUAGAAGCAGCCAUCAUUUAAAGAAAGCGUAAUAGCUCACUGGUCGAGUCGGCCUGCGCGGAAGAUGUAACGGGGCUAAACCAUGCACCGAAGCUGCGGCAGCGACGCUGAUGCGUUGUUGGGUAGGGGAGCGUUCUGUAAGCCUGCGAAGGUGGCCUGUGAGGGUUGCUGGAGGUAUCAGAAGUGCGAAUGCUGACAUAAGUAACGAUAAAGCGGGUGAAAAGCCCGCUCGCCGGAAGACCAAGGGUUCCUGUCCAACGUUAAUCGGGGCAGGGUGAGUCGACCCCUAAGGCGAGGCCGAAAGGCGUAGUCGAUGGGAAACGGGUUAAUAUUCCCGUACUUGGUGUUACUGCGAAGGGGGGACGGAGAAGGCUAUGUUGGCCGGGCGACGGUUGUCCCGGUUUAAGCGUGUAGGUGUGUGUUCCAGGUAAAUCCGGUUCACUUUAACACUGAGGCGUGAUGACGAGGCACUACGGUGCUGAAGCAACAAAUGCCCUGCUUCCAGGAAAAGCCUCUAAGCAUCAGGUAACAUCAAAUCGUACCCCAAACCGACACAGGUGGUCAGGUAGAGAAUACCAAGGCGCUUGAGAGAACUCGGGUGAAGGAACUAGGCAAAAUGGUGCCGUAACUUCGGGAGAAGGCACGCUGACACGUAGGUGAAGUGAUUUACUCAUGGAGCUGAAGUCAGUCGAAGAUACCAGCUGGCUGCAACUGUUUAUUAAAAACACAGCACUGUGCAAACACGAAAGUGGACGUAUACGGUGUGACGCCUGCCCGGUGCCGGAAGGUUAAUUGAUGGGGUCAGCGCAAGCGAAGCUCCUGAUCGAAGCCCCGGUAAACGGCGGCCGUAACUAUAACGGUCCUAAGGUAGCGAAAUUCCUUGUCGGGUAAGUUCCGACCUGCACGAAUGGCGUAAUGAUGGCCAGGCUGUCUCCACCCGA
rnacentral:rRNA from 1 species